AAACGUUCUCGGAUCGAAUUUCCAAAACUGAGGCAAUCCAACGGCAUUUGGAUAGGAAACAACUAUCUUCAACACCAUUGUUUCCCACAUAUCAACAGCAAGAUGUACUGCAAGCAAAAGGUUUAGACAAAGAAAAACAAGCUGCUUCAACAGGUCCUUCAGAUCCAAAAAAAACGCGCUUAUGCAAAAAUUGUGGACAGCCAAUGAAAGGACAUCCAAAAGUCAUUGUCCACAAGAAUUACUUGACAAAUAUUCUUAGCAGGCCAACUUUAAAAUAUUGACGAAUGUAACGCUCUCAUCGAUCAACAAUGUACGGGAACUGGCCAAACCUGAGCUAUUUUCCCUGGCGCUUUUUGUUGUAGCUGCAGUAAUCCAGGCAACAUUUGAACGAAGCAGGAACACAAUGUGUCGGUCGCAAUAUGGGAAA